CCCCCCCCCCCCCCCCCCCGCCACACACACACACACACACACACACACAGGGGAGUCAGCUUAGGGAAGGCAUAUUACUGUCAGAGUGUCAGGUGGGUUUGACAGAGAGGGGAGAGUGUUUGCUCAGUGGAUCCAAACGUUUACCUGGUCAUUGUGAUGUUGCAUCUUCCUUUGUCACAGCAGCGAUCCACAUGGAGACAGCUGCAGUGCGGUUUCUUAGCCCAUCCUAUUGGAGCAGAUAUUUAUAACCAGAGAACUGCAGCUAUCCUAGGCAGUGGUGUAAAGGACAACUGUGGAAUGGAUACACUUAUCAAGAGAACACGUGGUCAUCCCUACUGCCUAUGGUCUGGCGGACACAAAUGCAUCUUUUGUGAAUAAUGUCCGAGUGUUGGAAUGUGCCCCUGGCUAUCCAUACGUUUUAAAAACAAGGUAAUGGUGCCGUCUCCAUUGCUUAAUAUAAGGAAUAAAUGUUGUUUUUAAUACUUUUACUUUUACGUUUGAUACUUAAAUAUAUUUAUUAACCACGUGUAACGAUUCUCUUGUUGUGAAGUGGAGGCGGACCAAAACGCAGCGUGGUGGUUGUUCAUUGUAUUUUAAUGAAGACACUAUACAUGAACAAACUAACGAAAACAAGAAACGUGAGAACUCAAAACAGCCCUAUCUGGUGCAAACACAAAGACAGGAACAAUCACCCACAAACACACAGUGAAACCCAGGCUACCUAAGUAUGAUUCUCAAUCAGAGACAACUAAUGACACCUGCCUCUGAUUGAGAACCAUACUAGGCCGAAAACAUAGAACUGCCCCAAAACAUAGAAAAACAAACAGACUGCCCACCCAACUCACGCCCUGACCAUACUAAAUAAAUACAAAACAAAGGAAAUCGAGGUCAGAACGUGACAGUACCCCCCCCCCAAAGGUGCGGACUCCGGCCGCAAAACCUUGACCUAUAGGGGAGGGUCUGGGUGGGCGUCUGUCCGCGGUGGCGGCUCUGGCGCGGGACGCGGACCCCACUUCGCCAUUGUCUUAGUCCGCCUUAUUGUCC
rnacentral:lncRNA from 13 species